rnacentral:tRNA from 1 species
GGGGUUAUAGCUCAGUGGUAGAGCACUCGCCUAGCAGGUGUGAGGCUCUGGGUUCAAUCCUCAGCACCA